GCCAAUGCAUCUUGGAUGUUGACCACCCCCACCUGGCGCCGUCACAUCUUCUCUGAGCUUCACCCUCCCCAAUACCUGAGGUACCCUGUCAGAUAAGGCAAGGCAAGUGGGUGCCAACUAGCUGCAUGGAGCUUGGGCCUUUCAUCUGGCAUGCGGAACCUGGAUAAAAUGAGGUCACCUCUCCACACUGCACCAGAGAGAGGGAAUACUGUGAGGACAGCUUGUGUGACAGCUCCUCAUUCUUCCCUGUCACAGGACAGGGUCAGAUUCCAUAGCCACCACCUCAUGCCUCCUGGAGUAACUCUAGCUGAGAUGGAGUGCUUGUGUGGAUUGUGUUUGCUUGGUGAGGAGGGGGACUCAGGACACAUUAAAGUGUGGGGACAGAUUGGCUACCACUGCGCCUACUUACUGGGCCAGCCGGCCUGCGUUGGGGCAGGCAGAGUCCCAUUUCCAGUGGUUUCCACUUAGGCAAGGGCUACCCUGGUUGGGCGUGGGCUGGCAGGUGUUAGCUCUGGUGGAGACCCCUAAGGGUUUGGGGUACAAAGUCACUUAUGACACUUAGCCCUUCCCGUUUCUACUCAGCACCACCUAUAUGCUGUCUUCCUGGCCACCAGCCACUGCUUAGGCAAUGGCAAUCUAAAGGCAAGGGAUGGUCACAGAGCUGGUGGAGCGGGUGGCAUGACAACCAAUGUCCCUGCUCCGUUUGGGCCUCAGUUUCUCAUGUGCAAAUGGGAGGUGACACAAUGACCUCAGGGGCUCUGGGAUCCCUCUGAGACUCUGCCCCACUUCCUCUUUUAUCAGCAGGAAAUAGGAUCAGCCUCCAGUGCCAUCCUAGAGACCAGCGUACAGAGAAAGGGUCUGAUACAGAGGCCAGACUAGUAUCAGCCUAAUGAGGAUGCCUUGGACCUUUUGCUCAGGCUUCUGGCAUUCAGUCCUCUGGCCUUCCUGUGAGACAAGCACCAGCCUCUGGGGUCAACCCUAGGUUCUGUGCCUCUCACCAGUUGGGGAAGGUGGAACAAAGGGGAAAGGAAGCAGCCAGACAGCCUGAGGGCAGUUGUAACCUCAAUGGCUGCAAAGGCUCCGAACACACGGCCCAAAGGAGCACGGACACCACCACCCGACUCCCUGGUGCAGCACCAGGACAGGCAGAGCCUUGCAUCUUUAUCCUCGCUGCACAGACUCAUGUCUGCCUCGAAGUCCAGGAUCCGCACCAAGGGCCACACCGCCUCACCACCACCCAAUGGGAGACAGUGAUUUCUGCUACAAAGAUCAGCCACACUGUCCUUAGGAGCCAGCUACAGACAAACCCAUGAAGGCCCUCAUACUGUUUGUUAGUUUGGUUGCUAAGAAAAGCCCCAAGGCUAGAAGGCUGUCCUCCUGGGGAGCUGGGGGUGGGGGAAGCAGCUGUGGGCACUGACCUGAACUUUCCUGUCCGCACCUGCAGGGCUCUCAUUCCACACUGCUGGGCACCGCCAACGUCACCCACGAUGUCAUCGCCGAUCAUGAUGGCCUGUCAGCAGUGAAAUAUGCUCAGAAGUUAUGUCAGGAGAGUUUUAUUCCUGAGUUCUUGGUAUCUUUCUUCUUUUUUCUUAUCUUGACGUAAUAAACUGAUUGAUUUGAUGUUUAAAGCCACCAUCAUCCAAAUUAAACAAGAUAAUAUUGUCACUGUA